UUACCUUUGCAUUGCAUUGGUUUAAUGUGUUUUAUUACUAACACAUUGAUUAAAAGGGAAUCGGGUGAAAAUCCCGAACAGACCCGCUACUGUAAGUUCUAUGCAACAUUUUGACAUAAUCAACAAUAGUCACUGCAUUUAGUAAUAUAAUGCGGGAAGGCUGUUCAAAAUGAGGAUAAGUCAGGAGACCUGCCGGUGCCUUAAUAUUUUU
rnacentral:ncRNA from 2 species